AAUAUAAGAUAUUCGAAGAAAUCAGCAAAGAAUAAAGGGAAGAAGAGAUCUUUGGGAGCCAUGUGGAACAACAGGAGCAAUGCCAAGACUAGUACAGACAGCAAACUAUCGAUGUACUCCUUGGACACGCUGAGGCUCAAUCUGAACAGUAAGUCUUCUACCUCCAAGGAUAACCACACCAAUUCAAGUAAGCGCGGGAGCAAUGGGACCAGUAACUUGAAACGGGGAGGAAUUGAGAAACACUCUGACGGAACAAAAACACAG